GCCAGAGUGGUGUAGUGGUUUGAGCAUUGGACUAGGACUUUGGAGACCAGGAUUCAAAUCCUGGCUCAGCCA